CCGUGAGGGAAAGGCGAAAAGAACCCCGGCGAGGGGAGUGAAAAAGAACCUGAAACCGUGUACGUACAAGCAGUGGGAGCACGCUUAGGCGUGUGACUGCGUACCUUUUGUAUAAUGGGUCAGCGACUUAUAUUCUGUAGCAAGGUUAACCGAAUAGGGGAGCCGAAGGGAAACCGAGUCUUAACUGGGCGUUAAGUUGCAGGGUAUAGACCCGAAACCCGGUGAUCUAGCCAUGGGCAGGUUGAAGGUUGGGUAACACUAACUGGAGGACCGAACCGACUAAUGUUGAAAAAUUAGCGGAUGACUUGUGGCUGGGGGUGAAAGGCCAAUCAAACCGGGAGAUAGCUGGUUCUCCCCGAAAGCUAUUUAGGUAGCGCCUCGUGAAUUCAUCUCCGGGGGUAGAGCACUGUUUCGGCAAGGGGGUCAUCCCGACUUACCAACCCGAUGCAAACUGCGAAUACCGGAGAAUGUUAUCACGGGAGACACACGGCGGGUGCUAACGUCCGUCGUGAAGAGGGAAACAACCCAGACCGCCAGCUAAGGUCCCAAAGUCAUGGUUAAGUGGGAAACGAUGUGGGAAGGCCCAGACAGCCAGGAUGUUGGCUUAGAAGCAGCCAUCAUUUAAAGAAAGCGUAAUAGCUCACUGGUCGAGUCGGCCUGCGCGGAAGAUGUAACGGGGCUAAACCAUGCACCGAAGCUGCGGCAGCGACGCUUAUGCGUUGUUGGGUAGGGGAGCGUUCUGUAAGCCUGCGAAGGUGUGCUGUGAGGCAUGCUGGAGGUAUCAGAAGUGCGAAUGCUGACAUAAGUAACGAUAAAGCGGGUGAAAAGCCCGCUCGCCGGAAGACCAAGGGUUCCUGUCCAACGUUAAUCGGGGCAGGGUGAGUCGACCCCUAAGGCGAGGCCGAAAGGCGUAGUCGAUGGGAAACAGGUUAAUAUUCCUGUACUUGGUGUUACUGCGAAGGGGGGACGGAGAAGGCUAUGUUGGCCGGGCGACGGUUGUCCCGGUUUAAGCGUGUAGGCUGGUUUUCCAGGCAAAUCCGGAAAAUCAAGGCUGAGGCGUGAUGACGAGGCACUACGGUGCUGAAGCAACAAAUGCCCUGCUUCCAGGAAAAGCCUCUAAGCAUCAGGUAACAUCAAAUCGUACCCCAAACCGACACAGGUGGUCAGGUAGAGAAUACCAAGGCGCUUGAGAGAACUCGGGUGAAGGAACUAGGCAAAAUGGUGCCGUAACUUCGGGAGAAGGCACGCUGAUAUGUAGGUGAAGUCCCUCGCGGAUGGAGCUGAAAUCAGUCGAAGAUACCAGCUGGCUGCAACUGUUUAUUAAAAACACAGCACUGUGCAAACACGAAAGUGGACGUAUACGGUGUGACGCCUGCCCGGUGCCGGAAGGUUAAUUGAUGGGGUCAGCGCAAGCGAAGCUCUUGAUCGAAGCCCCGGUAAACGGCGGCCGUAACUAUNNNNNNNNNNNNNNNNNNNNNNNNNNNNNNNNNNNNNNNNCUUGUCGGGUAAGUUCCGACCUGCACGAAUGGCGUAAUGAUGGCCAGGCUGUCUCCACCCGAGACUCAGUGAAAUUGAACUCGCUGUGAAGAUGCAGUGUACCCGCGGCAAGACGGAAAGACCCCGUGAACCUUUACUAUAGCUUGACACUGAACAUUGAGCCUUGAUGUGUAGGAUAGGUGGGAGGCUUUGAAGUGUGGACGCCAGUCUGCAUGGAGCCGACCUUGAAAUACCACCCUUUAAUGUUUGAUGUUCUAACGUUGACCCGUAAUCCGGGUUGCGGACAGUGUCUGGUGGGUAGUUUGACUGGGGCGGUCUCCUCCUAAAGAGUAACGGAGGAGCACGAAGGUUGGCUAAUCCUGGUCGGACAUCAGGAGGUUAGUGCAAUGGCAUAAGCCAGCUUGACUGCGAGCGUGACGGCGCGAGCAGGUGCGAAAGCAGGUCAUAGUGAUCCGGUGGUUCUGAAUGGAAGGGCCAUCGCUCAACGGAUAAAAGGUACUCCGGGGAUAACAGGCUGAUACCGCCCAAGAGUUCAUAUCGACGGCGGUGUUUGGCACCUCGAUGUCGGCUCAUCACAUCCUGGGGCUGAAGUAGGUCCCAAGGGUAUGGCUGUUCGCCAUUUAAAGUGGUACGCGAGCUGGGUUUAGAACGUCGUGAGACAGUUCGGUCCCUAUCUGCCGUGGGCGCUGGAGAACUGAGGGGGGCUGCUCCUAGUACGAGAGGACCGGAGUGGACGCAUCACUGGUGUUCGGGUUGUCAUGCCAAUGGCACUGCCCGGUAGCUAAAUGCGGAAGAGAUAAGUGCUGAAAGCAUCUAAGCACGAAACUUGCCCCGAGAUGAGUUCUCCCUGACUCCUUGAGAGUCCUGAAGGAACGUUGAAGACGACGACGUUGAUAGGCCGGGUGUGUAAGCGCAGCGAUGCGUUGAGCUAACCGGUACUAAUGAACCGUGAGGCUUAACC
rnacentral:rRNA from 1 species